rnacentral:rRNA from 1 species
AUUGAACGCUGGCGGCAGGCCUAACACAUGCAAGUCGAGCGCGAAAAUUCCUUCGGGGAUGAGUAGAGCGGCGGACGGGUGAGUAAUGCGCAGAAAUCUGCCCAGUAGUGGGGGACAACCUGGUGAAAACCAGGCUAGUACCGCAUACGCCCUACGGGGAAAGGCAGGGGAGUCUUCGGACCUUGCGCUAUUGGAUGAGUCUGCGUCGGAUUAGCUUGUUGGUGAGGUAAUGGCUCACCAAGGCGACGAUCCGUAGCUGGUCUGAGAGGAUGAUCAGCCACACUGGGACUGAGACACGGCCCAGACUCCUACGGGAGGCAGCAGUGGGGAAUAUUGGACAAUGGGCGAAAGCCUGAUCCAGCCAUGCCGCGUGUGUGAAGAAGGCUCUAGGGUUGUAAAGCACUUUCAGUGGGGAAGAAAGCUUGUUAGCUAAUAACUGACGAGUGUGACAUUACCCACAGAAGAAGCACCGGCUAA